AGCGCUGAUUUAUGACCAGCCUGCUGAAAGCCCGUGGAAGCCGAGGUGGGGAGAGUGGCCAGCAGGUUGCCAAGCUGGCUGAUGACCCUCCUGGAAUGAGACAGGACCAUGGAAGACAUUUUUAAACAUUGUGUCAAGAAAGCAAAACCAAGGGAGGCACAAUCCCCCUCGACCUUGAUGCCGGAUUCGCACCUGCUGGCAGAAGGGAGGCCCAUGCAUCACCAACCCCCGUGUGCUGGUUCCCCGAGGCUCAAGGUCAUGAGAGUUCACCUGCCCAUCUGCGUCCAUGUGUGCUGCCCGGAUCAUCUCCUCCACCUCCUGGUUGUUCAGCUUCUUUCCCAGCCAGGUCAUUGCAUGCCGCCGCUUGGCGGUGCUGACCAGAAUUUUGCUGUCCUUGUCAAAGACGUGGAAGGCCUCCCAGAUGUGGUCCUCGCUGUCGCCAGCCUUCACCUUCCAGGCCAUCAGGCCCAGGAGCUCGGGGAAACCCACAGGGCCCCUGCCGUCGCAGUCCAGUUCACCCACCACUUUCUGGAGCUCGGCCUUGGAGUCCAGGACCAGGCAGCAGGCUGGCCAGCUGGUUGCACUGAUGCCAGCAGCUCUGGGAAUGGCCAGACCCUUGUCCCUACUGGCCGGAGCUGCGGGGACAGCUUCAGAGAGGGUGGUGAUUCCCUUCCCUGCAGGAUCUAUUUGUGGUCUUCAGUCCCAUUUAUACAUUUAAGGAUUACUGCAGACUGUAAAGAGCCUUUAAAAAUGUCUAUCAAUAUUUUCUGUGUUUGACAUGAGAACUAAUAAAAUUUUAAUAUAUGUAAAUGUAUUUUAUGUAUUCAUAACUUUUUGUAAGGCAUGUAGAAUUUUAUUAAAUUUUUUUUUACUGGAG
ensembl:lncRNA